GGGGAGUUCGGUUGGAGCCCUGGGUUGUCAGCUUCACCUCGUUCAAGUUUGGCCUCUUCCGGGAUAGUGCAUUCCACUAUGAAGUCGGCUAAUAUCUGAGCUUUUAUCGUCGAUCGAGGUCGAUAGUUGAUGUCGAAUUUCAUGAGCUCGAUCACCAAUUUCGCUAUCUUUUCGGAAACAUCCGCUCGAUGCAGAACUGCCUUGAUCAGCUGGUCGGUGAGCAGUAUUAUGGUGUGCCCUUGAAAGUAAGGUCGAAGCUUUCGAGAUCGG
rnacentral:lncRNA from 1 species